UGUGUGUGUGUGUCAUAUAUUUUAUCUCUCAUCCAUCUGUGAGAGAUAAAAUAUAUGACACACACACACACA
rnacentral:pre_miRNA from 1 species